UACAGAGGUCCCGAGCGUUGUUCGGAUUCACUGGGCGUAAAGGGCGCGUAGGUGGUGAGGUAAGUCGGAUGUGAAAUCUCCGGGCUCAACCCGGAAACUGCAUUGGAAACUACCUUGCUGGAGGGUUUGAGGGGGGACUGGAAUUCUCGGUGUAGCAGUGAAAUGCGUAGAUAUCGAGAGGAACACCGGUGGCGAAGGCGGGUCUCUGGGCCGAUACUGACGCUGAGGAGCGAAAGCGUGGGGAGCGAACAGG
rnacentral:rRNA from 1 species